rnacentral:lncRNA from 1 species
CAUUAUUGUGCGUGAGAGCAGAGAACCAAGGAAAACCUGCUGCCUUCUUCCUCAACAAUAGACCACCACCCGCCACCUAGAAGACCAGAUUUCACAACCAUUCGAACCCCUUCACCUCCCUCUUCAAGCUCUUGUCAUCACCUGGCCACGGAGUUGCCCAAAACAGCCCCAAUCAUCACCCAAAACCGCACUACCAGUCACGAUUUUCACCGUAUUUUCACCGUCGUCGGCCACCGUUUCAAGCGCGGACCACCACCACUCUACACCUGUCAACCAGGCGUAUCCAAUACCACCAUGGGUCACCUACAAUUUUGUCUAGAUUCGAGUGAGCUUGUGAAAGUAGUCCGUGAGUUGUGGCAGAUUUGGUCCCAACAAAAUUGAUGAAAUUUUAUUUAUACAAACAAUCAAUUCUACUUUCCAAACAUCAAGGUUGGUUUUUUGAAUGGGUUGGGUUUAGUUUUUGCACAUUUAUUUAUGGUUUCUUGUAUGUUAUUGAAUUUUUUGGCUACUUACUGUUAUUGAAAUUUUCGAAAUUGGAUGUUGAAAAUGAGGUGACUUUCAUUAUCUUGUUGGCUACUUAAUGUUUCUUAAGGAGUCUGCAAACUAUUAGUCUUAGUUUGGAUAAGAAAUUGUUGAAAUCUUUCUGUUGGAGAUAGGUCUCAUUAUCAGAUGAAUGAGAUUGAAUUCAAAUCACUGGGAAUUGGCUUUGAGUAAUCUGUAAAUGCCACUCGUGGUGGUGGAUUGCUUAAUUUGCUUCAGAAGAAUGCAAUUCAAUAUCAAACAAAUUCUUUCCAUAAAUCAUAACUAUGAAAAUAUAUACUGCAAGUAUAGAUUAUUUUGGAAAAGCUGUGAGAUGUCUCUUCCCCAGUAUGUGUAAGUAAUUUUUGUUCAUGAAUGAUGAGAAACGUUUGAAGUUGGUUGCCUCUCAUUGAAUUUGAUUAAGGAGGAAAGAUUGAUAAUCCAAUGUUAAUUGAUGAAAGGUCAUGAUACUAAACAAAUAGAUCAAGAUUAGGACUCGAGAAAUUAGAUAGAGUCAAGGAUUAAACGGAAGUAGUUGUUAAUCCGAUGCAACAAUUGGAUUAUAGAGCGCAUCAAGAGAGGGAACUGAAGUUCACGACUGCUGGCUGGAAGCGUG